UCUCUCUCUCCCUCUCGCUCUCUCCGGCCAAACCCAAUCCACCCGCCGCCGGUGAGCCCUAGCACACAGAGGGGUAAGAUCCAACAGCCAAGCCAGUCCACCACCACGCCAUGGCGCCGUCCCCGAGCACUUGCGCCCCCGACGGCGGCCUGGAUCCCAUGGACGUGUGCACCGUCGGCGUCGCCAGCACGCCCAUCGACGCCUUGCUUGGCUGCCUCUCGUCCCUCCCCGCCACCAAGCUCGGCUCCGUCGCCAUCCAGGUACCGCUGAUUCGAAAGCAACAUCUCGAACUACUGAUGGAGUGAUAUAUAUGAUACCGAAUCAGGAAUCCAGGAUCGAUUCUUCAGUUAAUCAACUCCUCCAUGGAUAGAUCAGCCUCCAGAUUUGUUCCAUAUCUUGCCAUCCUUCUUGAUUUCUCAUAUUCCCUGUCAAGCUAUCCGGAGGAUGUACAGUUCAGGGGAAUGGAGAUGAUCACGAACGUGUCCGAGUACUGGAAACUUGCCAGGGAGAAGCUCCUGAAGAUGGUGUACGACUACUACGCCUCCGACGCAGAGGAUCAGUGGAAGCUCAACGAGAACAGGGAGGCCUUCUCCAGGAUACUGAUAUGGAUGACUAUCUGAAGGGAUGCAGGUUUCUUCCCAAACUUAACAAUGCGAUACCUGGUGAAAGAAAUGCUCCCUACAGGGAAAGGUUGAGCAGCCUAGAGAAUUUAGUACUGAUCAUGGGGUGAUCGACGCAGACUACUGCGGCCUGAUGGGCAUCGUGCUCUUCAACUACUCGGGGGCAGACUUCACCGUGAAGCCUCGCGACCGUGUCAUACUGAUGAUUGUCCAGGUGAUUGCGAUGCCGGAGGUCCCCGGGGUGGAGGACCUCGACGCCACCAUACGAAGGUCACAGAGGUGGAGGACGACGCCACCGCCCGGAGUUCCUCAAGGUGGAGGACCUCGACGCUUUGUAGAUACAUCUAGAGAAGUGGUCUGGUUAGGUUGGUGGUGAAACAAUAGGGAAGGUACCAACCUUUUGAUGAUGGUUGUGUGCGUCCUCGUGAUCUCUUCGAGUUGAGAUGUUCAAUGCUGCAUCCAUGAACACUGCAAGUGUUAAGAUGGUUCUGUGACCUUAAUUUAUUUUGCACUGGACGUGUCUCU